AAUAUCCUGGAAUACUCGUCCAGCCUUUAUUUUGAACCUACGAAAUUGUAAAGGGAGUUUUUGAGCUGAAUUUGGAUAUCAAGCCCUCCUAAAGAAGGGAAGAUAGAAGGAUUCACGGAGGACACCCACCUAUCGAAAGAUAGGCGUCAAAAUAGGGCAACGGUAUUUUGGGUAUUGA
rnacentral:other from 1 species